AUCAGGGGAGCAUGGGCCUGCAGAUUGAAGGGUGAUAUUUAUCCAACAAAAAAGUGCCACGUAUCAAAAAAUCUAGACGUUCAAGAAUUCUGAUGCCUUUUCUCCCACGUGUGUAGAAUAAGUACCUAGUUUACCAUUUUCUCCUCUAUUAAUAUGAGCUUGCAUCAAAUAAUGUUGGGAGUUUGCCUUUUACUUUUACAAAUCUAUAACCUUUUAAAAGCAAGGAGUGAUAUUUCACUAUUCAUCCAAUAGUUAAAAUACCAAUUUGCCUUUAUUUUUCUUCACAUUUUCGUUACUACCUUUUGCUCUGAUAUACUAUAUGAGAUUACGCCACGUGCUUUCAUCAUUUUCCUUUGCUUUCUCUGAGUUCAACCCCCCAUCAAUUCUGAUCUCUCCCUAAUCUCUUUCGCCCCCUUCUUCUCCCUCCUGUAUCAUCGACAUUUUCUCUCUCCUUCUACACAGCUUGCAAUUUGUGCAAGCUUGACAAGGUUUCUAUCUUCACUAUUAGUUUUUCCUGCUUCUCUCUGGUAUGCUCUUUUGGAAUGUGGUAUGGGAUGGAGUUGUGGGUGGAUCGAGAUUUCUUCCAGUGGUACACUGCAAGUACACUGCAUUGGUGCUCACUAUUCAUCCAAUAGUUAAAAUACCAAUUUGCCCUUAUUUUUCUUCACAUUUUCGUUACUACCUUUUGCUCUGAUAUACUAUAUGAGAUUACGCCACGUGCUUUCAUCAUUUUCCUUUGCUUUCUCUGAGUUCAACCCCCCAUCAAUUCUGAUCUCUCCCUUCCCCCAAUCUCUUUCGCCCCCUUCUUCUCCCUCCUGUAUCAUCGACAUUUUCUCUCUCCUUCUACACAGCUUGCAAUUUGUGCAAGCUUGACAAGGUUUCUAUCUUCACUAUUAGUUUUUCCUGCUUCUCUCUGGUAUGCUCUUUUGGAAUGUGGUAUGGGAUGGAGUUGUGGGUGGAUCGAGAUUUCUUCCAGUGGUACACUGCAAGUACACUGCAUUGAUUGCUUUGCUCUUCUUGGCGCUAAUGCAUCAGGGUUUCCCCUUCAAGACUUCAUGGGUGAUGAGUUUAUCAAUUUCCCCUCCAAGAAUUUAUGGGUGAUGUAAUUACAAGUGAAGAUGGUCAUGCGCACGCUUUGUGGCAACAUAUGGGAGUUCCAGUAACCACUUCUUAAACCAAAGACCACUUUAGAAGUAAUGUGGAUUGGCCAAACAAUGGAGAUAUACAACUAUCAGUCAAUUCCUCCACAAUGUUCACUCAAUGGGGCUUCAUGGGCUCAUUUCCCAUCUCUAUUUUUCCGGAGUUGAAAAAGUAAGAUCACUCCUCGGUUCAACAUCGAUGCUCCAAGGCAUCCAAAUAAGUUUAUCCCCUUCGAAGGAGAUUCUAUUUAAUAAUGAUAAGGACUUCAUAACAAGAAAGAUAUAUUGAAUCAAUCAAGUCAAGCAAGUUAAUGAGGGGAACUUUCACAAAGAUCAUGAUCAUUGCUGAUAAAAAAGCAACAAGCAGGAAAAGUUGAAUGUUAUUUUGUUGUCAAAAUCUUUUCUCUCCGUAAUGUUGCGAUUUGUUUAUGUUGAAAUCUGUUUUUCUGUUGUAUUUCUCAAGAUUUGUUGGAUUAUUGUAUGUAUGAGUUAUUGAUUAUUUUUUUUGGUAAUAAUGAUACUUCAUAUAUGUUACGUUUCAAGUUAGGAUAAAUACGUAGCUUGGUUUGUAUGUAAUACUCCGUACAACUUUCAAAAUGGAUAUUAAAUAAAGAA